UGUGUACUCCCUCCGUUCCAAAAUACUUGACUUCCAUUUGUCCAAAAAUGGAUGUACCUAUAUACUAAAACAUGUCUAGAUACAUAUAUAUUAUGACAAAUAGAAGGCAUGUAUUGUGCAAUGGAGGGAGUAGAAU
rfam:Triticum aestivum genome assembly, contig: Triticum_aestivum_CS42_TGACv1_scaffold_560066_7AL